rnacentral:rRNA from 1 species
UACGUAGGUCCCGAGCGUUGUCCGGAUUUAUUGGGCGUAAAGCGAGCGCAGGUGGUUUAUUAAGUCUGGUGUAAAAUUGAGAGGCUCAACCUCUUCCCGCCGUUGAAACUGGUGGUCUUGAGUGGAUGAGAAGUACGCGGAAUGCGUGGUGUAGCGGUGAAAUGCAUAGAUAUCACGCAGAACUCCGAUUGCGAAGGCAGCGUACCGGCAUCCAACUGACGCUGAGGCACGAAAGCGUGGGGAUCAAACAGG